UUGACCUCGGAUUCAGGUAGGAAUACCCGCUGAACUUAA
rnacentral:rRNA from 1 species